GUUCAUGCACCCAAAGGUAUGGGCUAAAAUUGUCGAAUUACCAAAUUCUCUUUUUGAUCGGUUCUGUCUCAGGCUCUCGCAAUGUGUCAGUGUUUCAUGUGAAAUUUAAGAAGACAAAAAUUGUUUCUGAUUCUUUAAAGGUCCCUGCAGUGAGCUACAGGGAAGGGUCAAUGAUAUGUUUUGAGCGAUAACACAUUGAAGGAUAGCUUGGGAAAAGACGAGACUUUCUUUAACACACAAUUCAUGGCCGCAGCUACAGGGAAGGGUCAAUGAUCAAAUGGUAGAGCUUAUGGGUAAACAAUUCAGCUGAUUACAGUGAAUCACUUCCACUUGUUCCAAGCAUUCCCAAACCUCUCCCCAGUUGCAUAUACUCACAAGAUUUGGAAGAUUUCUCAGUUUCAAGACACGUAGAUUUGGUACGAAAGGUUGAUGGUAUAACAAAGCCUCGUGUAGAUUCUGCAAAGAGUCGCAGUAGCUAAUCUCUAUCUCCUCCAGGUUUGGGAUAGUCAAGAAAUUUCUUUUGUCGAGUAGUGUUCGAAGCUUGCGACACAUGGUGAUCUCGAUUAUCUUCAGUGUUUCCAGUUUCAACCCGAGAUGUGUUUGUAGCUCUGAGAAGGUUUCCAAGUCAACACGACGCAGAUGAAGUUCCUCCAAAUUUGGAAGAAGGUCUAGUAUGUCAGAGGAUUGUUUUGAAGUGUUAGUGCUUACCAUCUCAACCCAAGAAUUCGUAUUGAUGAUAACGUUCUCAAUCGUCAGAGAUUUCAAAUUCUUGAAACCCUUGUUGUCACUUACCAAUUUCUUCAUCAUUGCUUCGAUCCCCUGACAAUGGUUUAGUGCUAGAGAUGUUGUAUAAGCCAACAGCCA